rnacentral:rRNA from 1 species
CUUCUGAGUAAAUGGGUUUACAAACUACUCAUUGAGAAUGAACCGUGGUGGGAUAUUCUUCGUAACAAGUGUUUGGGGUCCAAAGCCAUUUCUCAAGUUCAUUGAAAGCCCAGGGAUUCAUAUUUUUGGCAUGGUGUGAUGAAGGCCAAGGAAUUGUUUUUCCAAUUUGGCACUAUCUUAGUUAGAAAUGGUUCUCGGGUUCGAUUCUGGGAUGAUACCUGGCUGGGCGCCGCCCCACUUAUGGUGCAAUACUGUAGCUUGUAA